UUUUUUUUUUUUUUUUUUUUUUUUUUUUUUUUUUUUUUUUUUA
rnacentral:ribozyme from 1 species